CCCUUAGAUGUUCUGGGCUGCACGCGCGCUACACUGACACACUCAGCGAGUCUCCUGACCCGAGAGGGUUGGGUAAUCAUGUGAGCGUGUGUCGUGAUGGGGAUAGAAUAUUGUAAUUAUUGCUCUUCAACGAGGAAUUCCUAGUAAGCGCGAGUCAGCAGCUCGCGCUGAUUACGUCCCUGCCCUUUGUACACACCGCCCGUCGCCCCUACCGAUGGGGUGAUCCGGUGAAUGAUUCGGACUUCCGCGUUGCUAGCUACUAGUUUCGCGGAAGAAAGUCUUGUGAACCUUAUCACUUGGAGGAAGGAGAAGUCGUAACA
rnacentral:rRNA from 1 species